rnacentral:rRNA from 1 species
AGCAGCCGCGGUAAUUCCAGCUCCAAUAGCGUAUAUUAAAGUUGUUGCAGUUAAAAAGCUCGUAGUUGAAUUUCGAGACCGGUUUAUUGGUCGUGCUUUUGUACGUACUGGUAUUAUUGGUUUCUCCUUUCUGACGAAUCUUAAUGCCAUUAAUUUGGUGUUUUGGGGAAUCAGGACUGUUACUUUGAAAAAAUUAGAGUGUUUAAAGCAGGCUCACGCUUGAAUACAUUAGCAUGGAAUAACGGAAUAGGACGUUUGAUUCUAUUUUGUUGGUUUCUAGGAUCGACGUAAUGAUUAAUAGGGAUAGUUGGGGGCAUUAGUAUUCAAUUGUCAGAGGUGAAAUUCUUGGAUUUAUUGAAGACUAACUACUGCGAAAGCAUUUGCCAAGGAUGUUUUCAUUAAUCAAGAACGAAAGUUAGGGGAUCGAAGACGAUCAGAUACCGUCGUAGUCUUAACCAUAAACUAUGCCGACUAGGGAUCGGAUGAUGUUAAUUUUUAAUGACUCAUUCGGCGCCUUACG